AAGCAGGCGGAAGCGGAGACCCGGAAACUGUAACAUGAUAACACAGGUCAUCGGCCUGUACCAAGAGCAAAUAGCUGCGGCGGGAGCGACUACAACUCCAAUGCUUGUUCCAGGAAAGAAUUAAGAAGACUUCAUUGUGUUAAUACUAUAAAACGCUUUAUUUUUUAACACUUGUGCUUGAUAAUCUUACUUGUGUAAAAGUGUGCUGACUUGCCACACCUACACACAGACUAGUGGGAUCGUCGGCUGAGUCGCUUGCCGCUUGAUGUUUCCAUUUUCAUAACGGGGGUCCUGAAUGGAGGAACGUCAACCUACCAGGCGAAUACUCCUCCAUAGUUUGCAGCUACUAUUAAGAUCAACUAUAAAGUAUAGGUACUUUUAUUUUUAUCAACAUAUGCAGAGUUUCAACAUGCUGUUUUAAGAUCAAAGGGACACACAUAAAAAUAAAGUAACUCGCGACAAUGGUUCACCCCAUUUUCCCGCCACUUGCGCUUGCCACAAUCACAGUGACAGAACGAUUCUGACAGAAUUUUUUUGAUGUGCAAGCUACGCUAUCAAGGUCUUAUCUACCAGAAUGAAACUGACUUUGCAGACAUUCCAUUACUGCUCUAACGCAGAGAAGCUGAUUGACAUGUUUGAGUGCGGGGAGACCCCGCCCCUCCGGGUACGGCCGUACCACCGCCCAGGUGCACCGAGGGCUGGGAUCAUGACCUCGGCAUUGGUCGACGGAGACUGGAUGCAAGUGGGGUGGGUCCGGGAAACCGACCGGCUGGCAGUUGAAGAGUUGUGCUCUGGAGCCGCUAUUGAAGACCUGGUUGUGAAGCUGAGGGAAGCUUACGUGAAGAGGGGGUUCUGCGUCCUGAAGCUUGACGUUUCCCUUCAGUAAUACCUAGUAAUAUACAUUGCAUUUCGUUUGUAUAAAUAUGUUCCCAAUAAAAUGGUUCUGUCAGUCUAGUAGC